rnacentral:rRNA from 1 species
UACGUAGGGUCCGAGCGUUGUCCGGAAUUACUGGGCGUAAAGAGCUCGUAGGUGGUUUGUCGCGUUGUCCGUGAAAAACUCACAGCUCAACUGUGGGCGUGCGGGCGAUACGGGCAGACUGGAGUACUGCAGGGGAGACUGGAAUUCCUGGUGUAGCGGUGGAAUGCGCAGAUAUCAGGAGGAACACCGGUGGCGAAGGCGGGUCUCUGGGCAGUAACUGACGCUGAGGAAGCGAAAAGUGUGGGGGAGCGAACAGG